rnacentral:rRNA from 1 species
AUUGAACGCUGGCGGCGUGCCUAACACAUGCAAGUCGAGCGGUAACAGGUGUAGCAAUACAUGCUGACGAGCGGCGGACGGGUGAGUAACGCUUGGGAAUCUGCCUAUUAGUGGGGGACAACCCGGGGAAACUCGGGCUAAUACCGCAUACGCACUACGGUGGAAAGCCGGGGACCGCAAGGCCUGGCGCUAACAGAUGAGCCCAAGUCGGAUUAGCUAGUUGGUAGGUAACGGCCACCAAGGCGACGAUCCGUAACUGGUCUGAGAGGACGACCAGUCACACCGGAACUGAGACACGGUCCGGACUCCUACGGGAGGCAGCAGUGGGGAAUAUUGGACAAUGGGCGAAAGCCUGAUCCGGCGACGCCGCGUGGGU